AUUGAACGCUGGCGGCAUGCCUUACACAUGCAAGUCGAACGGUAACAGGUCUUCGGAUGCUGACGAGUGGCGAACGGGCGAGUAAUACAUCGGAACGUGCCCGAGAGUGGGGGAUAACGAGGCGAAAGCUUUGCUAAUACCGCAUACGAUCUCAGGAUGAAAGCAGGGGACCGCAAGGCCUUGGGCUCACGGAGCGGCCGAUGGCAGAUUAGUUAGUUGGGGGGAUAAAAGCUUACCAAGCCGACGAUCUUGAGCUGGUCUGAGAGGACGAGCAGCCACACUGAGACAGAGACACGGCCCAGACUCCUACGGGAGGCAGCAGUGGGGAAUUUUGGACAAUGGGCGCAAGCCUGAUCCAGCCAUGCCGCGUGCAGGAUGAAGGCCUUCGGGUUGUAAACUGCUUUUGUACGGAACGAAAAGACUCUGGUUAAUACCUGGGGUCCAUGACGGUACCGUAAGAAUAAGCACCGGCUAACUACGUGCCAGCAGCCGCCGUAACAC
rnacentral:rRNA from 1 species